CUCCAACCCUGUCUUCUGCCACCGCCUAAGUCUUACUCGUAAACCAAUCACAGGCCUUUUUGUUCAUCGUUUUGCUCUCCAAGUCAGUAAUCCUGAAUAUGACUUCAUCAACCUUGAUUCCAAUCCCCCUAGUCCUCCCUUCAGAACUCUCACCUUUGUUAAUACUUCAUAUGGAAUCCAAAUCCUGCAAUCUUGUAAUGGUCUAUUACUAUGUAGCAGCGGACACAGCAACUACUAUGUUUAUAAUCCCACUACUAAGCAAUACAGGAUACUUCCUCAACCCCGCAUUGGCAGAGGAGUUUCUAGAUCAAUUUUUGGUGUUAACUUAGCAUUUGAUCCUUCAAAAUCAUCUGAUUACAAAGUCAUCUACGUAGGAGCUUGUGAUUCUUUUCUUGGUGGCCUGCUUCAUAUGGAGAUUUACUCAUCAGAAACAAGUGACUGGAGAUAUGGAGGUACUUUAACAGCACCAAGUGGUAUAAAUUUCAAUACUGGUGUAUUCUGGAAUGGUGCCAUUAAUUGGGUAAGUUCUUCUGAAACUUCUUUAUAUUUUGACAUUGAUCAAGAGAAACUGCAAGAAAUGCCAAUGCCUCCUGUUCCUGAUGGAUGGGAUAGCGGGAUUUAUCAAUACUUUGGAGAGUCUGGAGGCCAUUUGCUUCUUAUUGAUCUUUGUGGUGCCUCUCCCUUCGUAGUUCAUGAAAUGAGGACAGACUAUUCCGGUUGGUUUGUGAAGCAUCGUGUUGAUCUGGGUGGGGUUGCAGCUGCAUUUCCUGAGAUGAUUAGGACUUAUCUUGAUCCAGAAGACUCGCACUAUUAUGGGUAUUCGCUACUAGGUGUUGAAAGCGAGGAGAAUGAUGAUGACUCAUAUUUGUUAUUGCACCUGCCUAAUAAGGUAGUGCAUUAUGAUUUCAAGGAUAAGACUUUCAAUAAACUUGUUGACGUUGCUCCAGAUGGCAACCAAGCUGCAGAUGCAAGUUCAUUGCAGUAUCGAUGGUUUGGUGCUUUUCAGUACUAUCAAUGUCUUGCUUGUGUGUGAUGAUAUCUCUGCUCAAAAAGAUUAUUAGGUUAGGCCAAUAUGGAUUUAGCUAUUAUCCUUGUAUUGGUUUCAGGCUUGAAAUUCAACAUGUAUGUUCUGUCAAAAUACAAAUUAAGGUGAUAAUCAAUCUGUUUGUAAUCCUCGAAAUAUUUUCAAUCCAAAAUCUUGCUUGAAAUCAGAGUCUUGGUGGUUCAUUGUAAUCGUCAAGAUGUCUUUUUUUUUUUUUUUCACGCUGGAGAAACCUUUGAGCUUGUUGACAAUUCAGGAACUGAACUUUUCUUCUAGCCUAAGAACAUCCAAGAAUUUGCUUGUACUAUUAGCCAUUUUAGAUGACGAACCUCAAAGCCCAUGAGGUCUGUUGUACUUCAGUUUGAUCAAUGUAAUAGCCUAUAAAAUCGAUUCUAGUCCUAAAGACCCAGUCCAAUCUAUGAGGUCAAAGUCAUGGCGAACAAUUAAUACAAUUUUUUUAAAAUCAUUAACAAAAAUAGCUAAGCAUGGAUGGAAAUCAAUGUAAAGGUAAAAACUUGAAAGUCAAUAGCUAUGGGCAACAAUUAACACAAUAUUUAUAAAAUUGUUAGCAAAAAUGGCUAAGCAUGCAUGCAAAUCAAUGUAAAGCUGACAGUCGGUCUAGGUGAUGAUUAAAACAAUGUUUAUGAAACUGAAAACAAAAAUGACUAGGUAUGCAUUAAAUUUAAAUACAAGCACGCAUAAAAUAAAUGCAAAUGAAGAUAUAAAGCUUGUAAAUAUCAAGCUUCACAAGUCAUUCAGGCAUCCAUCUAUCCUUUUAGUUAAGCAAGCCAAGAGAUAAUUAAAAGUUAGUUAAGAGCAUUUCCAAAAACUAUUUUUUCUUCGAAAAUAUAUUUUCUACAUUCAAUCUGAAUAUAUUUCAAAAAUAAUUUGGAAAAAAAACACUUUCAGUAUUAUUCCAAAUAUAAUUUUUUAAUAUUCUUCCAAAAACAUUUAUAGAAAACAUUUUCAGAAUUCUUCAAACAAAAAUAGUUCCAAAACAUUUCCUCAAAUAUUUUUCAAACACAUUUCAAUAUUUAUUUUCCAAAAAUAUUCUAUUUUCUCACAUUUUCCCUAAUUAAACUUUUUAGACUAUAGCAAUUAUAGAACAUUAAUAUUAAGUUACUGAUUUUUCAUUAUUCACUGGUGUAUUUUGCUCCUACAUCACUAUCACAGCAGUUGCCAUUAUUAUUUAAGCCUAAAUCUAAACAUCAGCAAUAGUCAAAGUUGUAAUAAGAGUUUAUUUAGGUCACACCAAUACUUGAAUAUAUUUUUAAACUUUACUCUUUAGACCAUACAGUAUAAUCAAGCCGUAGCAGACUGCUAAGCCUGAAUUUCUAAUCAAGUCCAAUUUUAUUUCAAUCGAGAAAGAGCCUAUCUUUAUAACACGUGACGUGGUGAAAUUUCCGGCCCCAAACAAUCAACACCUCCAAUCGGAAAAAUUUUGCAAAUCUUUCUCAGUUUUUGAGUAAUUAAUUUCAAUUCUCAUAUACCACUGUGAUUUGAUGAUUGCUUUGAUAAUUUUGACACCGAUAUACGAAAGUGCUAGGAGAGUUUCAUUGCUUCAAUGUAACUGAAGCUCACAGAACAUCAGGAAACAAAAAAAUCAAAUUGGUUGUAUGAUGCUAAAAGUAAUUGCUUGCAUGGUUCAUAAGUGAUCGGGAUUUCCUGUUCAGCAAAUUGACUAUUUGGUGGGGAUGAAUAGAUGCUUUUAUCUUUUUACUCUUACUGCCUUGUGUGAAAUUUCAGAAGAACUUACCCAAAAAAGAAAAACAAGUAAUGACUCGGUCAAGAUUCUGUAUUUGUUUAUACAGUCAACAAUACUGCUAGCAAGAGGCUUUAGCUUGCUUCAGCUGUGGAAGGCAGACUUGACUUCAAAGAUAAGAUUUCUUUUAGUUGCUUGGUCUGAGUCAGCGGCGGAGGUCAUAUAAAAAUAUUUCCACUUCUCUAGAAAACAAAGGCAAGCAAAAAUCCACCCUUAAUUUUCUCACCAUGCCAUCAACCAUAACAACCAUCACAAACUCAAUCAUAACAUUCACCUCCUCUUCUCACAAUUAUCAGCAAUCACCGUCUGAAGUGAUUGCGAACUUGGAUGACCUUUUAACUGAAAUACUUAUUCGCCUUCCAAUCAAAUCCCUGCUCAAAUUCAAAUCCGUAUCCAAACACUGGCUCUCCCUCAUCUCCAAUCCUUUCUUCUGCCGCCGCCUAAGUCUUAUUCGUAAGCCAAUCACGGGCCUCUUUGUUGAUCGUGUAGCUCUAAAAGUCAAUAAUCCUGAAUAUGACUUCAUCAACCUUGAUUCCAAUCCCUCUAGUCCUCCCUUCAGAACUCUUACCUUUGUUAAUGAUUCAUAUGGGAUCCAAAUCUUGCAAUCUUGUAAUGGUCUAUUAUUAUGCAGCGGGGGACACGGCAA
rnacentral:lncRNA from 1 species